rnacentral:rRNA from 1 species
GAUGAACGCUGGCGGCGUGCCUAAUACAUGCAAGUCGAGCGAACAGACGAGGAGCUCGCUCCUCUGACGUUAGCGGCUGACGGGCGAGUAACACGUGGAUAACCUACCUAUAAUACUGGGAUAACUUCGGGAAACCGGAGACAAUACCGGAUCAUAUAUUCUACGGCAUGAUGCAAUAGUGAAAGACGGCUUUCCCGUUAGUUUUAGAUGAAGCCGGGCUGCAUUGGCUAGUUGGUAAGGUAAAGGCUUACCAAGGCAACGAUGCGUAGCCGAGCUGAGAGGGUGAUCGGCCACACUGGAACUGAGACACGGUCCAGACUCCUACGGGAGGCAGCAGUAGGGAAUCUUCCGCAAUGGGCGAAAGCCUGACGCAGCAACGCCGCGUGAGUGAUGAAGGUCUUCGGAUCGUAAAACUCUGUUAUUAGGGAAGAACAAAUGUGUAAGUAACUCUGCACGUCUUGACGGUACCUAAUCAGAAAGCCCCGGCUAACUACGUG